ACGCUCGACACCUACGGAGGCAGCAGUGGGGAAUAUUGCACAAUGGGGGAAACCCUGAUGCAGCGACGCCGCGUGAAGGAAGAAGUAUCUCGGUAUGUAAACUUCUAUCAGCAGGGAAGAAAGUGACGGUACCUGACUAAGAAGCCCCGGCUAACUACGUGCCGGCAGCCGCGGUAAUCUGAGCGGGCUGGCAAGGC
rnacentral:rRNA from 1 species